CCCUGCAUUCGUAAGUGACCAUGGAGUGCCCAGGCCCUGGUUAUUGGUAGUGCAGGCAGAGGAAACGUGGAAAGAACAUCCUGUGUUUGGAAGGUCUACACCCUGCCUUCCAGUGCUGGGAGCUUUCCCACA
ensembl:snoRNA SNORA71 Small nucleolar RNA SNORA71